rnacentral:rRNA from 1 species
UACGUAGGGUGCGAGCGUUAAUCGGAAUUACUGGGCGUAAAGCGUGCGCAGGCGGUUGUGCAAGACAGAUGUGAAAUCCCCGGGCUUAACCUGGGAACUGCAUUUGUGACUGCACGGCUAGAAUGUGUCAGAGGGGGGUAGAAUUCCACGUGUAGCAGUGAAAUGCGUAGAGAUGUGGAGGAACACCGAUGGCGAAGGCAGCCCCCCUGGGAUAAGACUGACGCUCAUGCACGAAAGCGUGGGGAGCAAACAGG